rnacentral:lncRNA from 1 species
AUUAAACUAGAGGCUCUAAAGAGCCUGUGUCGCUCACCUUGGUAUAUGUGAAUAUUAAACAAAAGAAACAGAUGGAUUCAUGACAAAAUUGUGUUUUGGUGAUGGUGAUGUGUUUGUACAUCUUACUUUACUGAACAUUCUUGCUGCUUACAAUUAUCUCUAUCUAUAAUGAACUUGGCCCAAUGAAAAUUAAUAAAAAUUGACUAUAAAGGACGUUAACUCCUUAGGGGGUCAAUUGACCAUUUCAGUCAUGUUGACUUAUUUGUAAAUCUUACUUUGCUGAACAUUAUUGCUUUUUACAGGUUAU